AGCGAACGCUGGCGGCAGGCUUAACACAUGCAAGUCGAGCGGGCACUUCGGUGUCAGCGGCAGACGGGUGGGUAACACGUGGGAACGUACCCUUCGGUUCGGAAUAACGCUGGGAAACUAGCGCUAAUACCGGAUACGCCCUUUUGGGGAAAGGUUUACUGCCGAAGGAUCGGCCCGCGUCUGAUUAGCUAGUUGGUGGGGUAAUGGCCUACCAAGGCGACGAUCAGUAGCUGGUCUGAGAGGAUGAUCAGCCACACUGGGACUGAGACACGGCCCAGACUCCUACGGGAGGCAGCAGUGGGGAAUAUUGGACAAUGGGCGCAAGCCUGAUCCAGCCAUGCCGCGUGAGUGAUGAAGGCCUUAGGGUUGUAAAGCUCUUUUGUCCGGGACGAUAAUGACGGUACCGGAAGAAUAAGCCCCGGCUAACUUCGUG
rnacentral:rRNA from 1 species